rnacentral:rRNA from 1 species
UGCGAGUCAUUGUAGCAAUACAAGGCAGACGGCUCAGUAACGCGUAGUCAAUCUACCCUAUGGACGGGAAUAACCUCGGGAAACUGAGAAUAAUGCCCGAUAGAACAUUAUGCCUGGAAUGGUUUAUGUUUCAAAUGAUUUAUCGCCAUAGGAUGGGACUGCGGCCUAUCAGUUUGUUGGUGAGGUAAUGGCCCACCAAGACUAUUACAGGUACGGGCUCUGAGAGGAGUAGCCCGGAGAUGGGUACUGAGACACGGACCCAGGCCCUAUGGGGCGCAGCAGGCGAGAAAACUUUGCAAUGUGCGAAAGCACGACAAGGUUAAUCCGAGUGGUUUCUGCUAAAGAAACCUUUUGUCAGUCCUAGAAACACUAACGAAUAAGGGGUGGGCAAGUUCUGGUGUCAGCCGCCGCGGUAAAACCAGCACCUCAAGUGGUCAGGAUGAUUAUUGGGCCUAAAGCAUCCGUAGCUCGUUUUGUAAGUUUUCGGUUAAAUCCAUGCGCUUAACGUAUGGGCUGCCGGGAAUACUGCAUAACUAGGAAGUGGGAGAGGUAGACGGUACUCGGGAGGAAGGGGUAAAAUCCUUUGAUCUCUUGAUGACCACCUGUGGCGAAGGCGGUCUACCAGAACACGUUCGACGGUGAGGGAUGAAAGCUGGGGGAGCAAACCGGAUUAGAUACCCGGGUAGUCCCAGCUGUAAACUAUGCAAACUCAGUGAUGCAUUGGCUUAUGGCCAAUGCAGUGCUGCAGGGAAGCCGUUAAGUUUGCCGCCUGGGAAGUACGUACGCAAGUAUGAAACUUAAAGGAAUUGGCGGGGGAGCACCACAAGGGGUGAAGCCUGCGGUUCAAUUGGAUUCAACGCCGGAAA